AACGCACAUUGCGCCCUUUGGUAUUCCGAGAGGCACGCCUGUCUGAGCGUCAGCAAAACCCUUCGGUAGUAGCGAUUUAUAUUGCGAAGCCGGUUUUGGCGGCGGGCGCCUACCCCUCACGGGGGGGCCCCCCGCUUAAUAAAAGCUGAAAGCGGCCAAGGUUGAGGACAAACCAGGCGAUAGUAGAAAUAUAAUCGUUAUGACAGGAAUCGACCCGCUUAAAAUUUAUUGGCGGCCCCUCACACGGGCGAACCACAAUUUUUUGACCUCAGAUCAGACGAGGAUACCCGCUGAACUUAA
rnacentral:misc_RNA from 1 species